GACGAACGCUGGCGGCGUGCCUAACACAUGCAAGUCGAACGGAAAGGCCCUGCUUGCAGGGUGCUCGAGUGGCGAACGGGUGAGUAACACGUGGGUGAUCUGCCCCUUACUUUGGGAUAAGCCUGGGAAACUGGGUCUAAUACUGGAUAGGACCAUGCUGUAGGUGGUGUGGUGGAAAGAUUAGUUUCGGUAAGGGAUGAGCUCGCGGCCUAUCAGCUUGUUGGUGGGGUAAUGGCCUACCAAGGCGUCGACGGGUAGCCGGCCUGAGAGGGUGGACGGCCACAUUGGGACUGAGAUACGGCCCAGACUCCUACGGGAGGCAGCAGUGGGGAAUAUUGCACAAUGGGCGCAAGCCUGAUGCAGCGACGCCGCGUGGGGGAUGACGGCCUUCGGGUUGUAAACUCCUUUCAGCCAUGACGAAGCGUUCGGGUGACGGUAGUGGUAGAAGAAGCACCGGCUAACUACGUG
rnacentral:rRNA from 1 species